UCGUAUUUUCGCUUGUGCGCCCGGUCAACUAAAAGCAGUAAGAGGAGCCAGGGGAACCCUUAUUUUCUUUUAGUACUGUGAAAGACUCUUCACUGUUCCAGUGAAGUGCGGCGACGGGACGGUGCAGACGAUUAACCGUAAUGAACCUAUGGUGAAACGAUCACUUUAGGUUGUCGGCUCCGAUGAAGUGUCUCGUGCGCGGUUGCACCCGCACGCACCGGGAUGCGGGUGUUUCCUUUCACCGUCUACCUGGCAAGGAUCCAGUGCGAAGUCGCUGGCUGGAAGCCCUUCGACUGCGCGCUACCUCGAAGAUACUGCAUCAGCUUGAUCGUGUGUGUUCCGAGCACUUCUCCGCGCAGUCCUUCACGUCGUGGAAGGUUUCGAAGAAUCUGGGGUUCGAGAGAAAGAAGAAACGCCUCGACGAGGGCUCAGUUCCGACCCUUCAACUGGAUCUCACACCAGCACCAGCGUGCAAAAGGCGCAGACUGGAUGAUUCAGAGACGCCAUCUGAGUGUGGGAAGCACAAUGAAGCAGACAACCUCUGCGAAGACCCUAUUGUGGUGUCAAAAGAGGACAUGGCAGCCAGUAUAAUCGAGGUUGUGCCUGCUGAACAGAAAGCACCUGAAACUCAAGACUGUUGUGAACUUCAGCUCGCAACUGAAGAUCAUGGGUAUUCCAUCAGAAGUGCCACGUCUGCCGACCACACCUACAGCAUUGAAGUUCAGUACGAAAACAAAGGCACACAGGUGAACUUGUCCGCCAAGCAGUCGAAGGAGACGCAGACAGACCCAUGGGAGUCUCCAGCUGUUCUUCCAUGUACAAGUGCUGCUCCAGCCAUCAUGAAGGAUCCUGCUCCAGUUGCUAUGAAGCAAGUGCCUGUGCCAGCAGCAGUUGAGAUGCCAGCAUGCGAGGACUUCGCCACAGAGCAGGUUGCCCCAUCGUACCGGCCGACAAGCCAGCCAUUUCUGGAGGCCGACCUCUCUUUCGAAAGACCAGGCAUGUGCUCAAGCCCUAUUCCAGAAGAGCCUGCAGACACUACGUACGAGGCUUCUUGGGACGAGAGCUUCUUGAGCAACUCAACCUCAACGGCCCCCCUGCACGAGGAGCCCAAGUACAUUGUAUUUGAGAGCUGUUUAUUGCAGUUGCUCCGCCCAUGCGUAAUGUGCCAAGCGCCAUGUAAAGUUACUAUUGUACCAGACGGCACACUAGUGAGGGCCACGGCUGUGUGCCAAAGCGAACACAGCAGGACUUGGCUCAGCCAGCCUCUCAUCAACAACGUGCCAGCCUGCAACCUGCUCCUCUCCGGUGCCAUGCUGUUCACCGGCUCCUGCUCUGCAAAGGUGCUCAGGCUGCUAAGGCUCAUCAAUAUUCAAGCCUUCUCGGAAAGCACGUACUUCAAUCACCAGGCAGCAUUCCUGCAGCCUUCAAUUGAACGAGUGUGGAACCGAGAGCAGCAGAGCCUUCUCCAGGCAAGGCAGGGGAAGACGGUGCGUUUGGCUGGGGACGGGAGGUACGACUCUCCAGGGUACUCGGCCAAAUUCAUGACAUACACUUUCAUGGAGAUGGAGACAAACAAGAUCCUCCACUAUGUCCAAGUGCAGCUUGGAGAGUCCCCCGAGGUGAAGUCCAGCAACGCAAUGGAGCUGCAUGGCUGUGCCAAGGGGCUCACUUUUUUCAAGGAGGAGAAUGUCACGGUCGAGGCCCUCGUCACGGACCGUCACCUAGGGAUCAAGGGCCACAUGAGGAGCAAAGAACCCCAGACACGCCAUUACUUCGAUGCUUGGCACAUUGCAAAAGGCAUAAGCAAAAAGAUGCUGAAGGCCAGCAAGUACGCCCGGUGUGAAGUGUUGGCAUACUGGGCACAGCCUGCCUCCAACCAUCUGUACUGGUGUGCUGCCAACUGCGAAGAGGAUGGAAAACUCCUCGUCGAGAUGUGGAAGAGCAUAAACAACCAUGCUCUCGACAAGCACACUGGCCAUGGAGGGGUGUACGACCGCUGUGUUCACGACACCCUCGUUGGGGACAGAGAGUGGCUCUCUCUAGAACCAGAUUGGCUGCUCUGCACCACAACGAAAACUCCGGAAGGGUCCAAGCGGUGACGCGCAAAGGGCAGCCAAAAUUCAAGCGAAGGAUGCAGAGAGGGAAGAUGGGGACCGAUCGUCUCAAGGAAGUAAAAACCCCUCCAACCUACGCGUACGUGGGCCAGCUGCUGUCUGAGGCUGCUGCCUGCUGCAACGAGUCUUCCCUCAGGGAAGCCUUGGGCAACAGACCCCGGGAUCGGGCCCCCCUCCCCAUGGCAGCUCACUACCC
rnacentral:misc_RNA from 1 species